rnacentral:rRNA from 1 species
UGGGGAAUAUUGCACAAUGGGCGCAAGCCUGAUGCAGCGACGCCGCGUGGGGGAUGAAGGCCUUCGGGUUGUAAACCCCUUUCAGCAGGGAAGAAGCGAAAGUGACGGUACCUGCAGAAGAAGCGCCGGCUAACUACGUG